rnacentral:rRNA from 1 species
CCUACGGGUGGCAGCAGUGGGGAAUAUUGCACAAUGGGGGAAACCCUGAUGCAGCGACGCCGCGUGAGUGAAGAAGUAUUUCGGUAUGUAAAGCUCUAUCAGCAGGAACGAGACAAGACGGUACCUGACUAAGAAGCCCCGGCUAACUACGUGCCAGCAGCCGCGGUAAUACGUAGGGGGCAAGCGUUAUCCGGAAUCACUGGGUGGAAAGGGAGCGUAGACGGCUGUGCAAGCCUGAAGUGAAAGGCGGGGGCCCAACCCCUGGACUGCUUUGGGAACUGUACGGCUGGAGUGCAGGAGAGGUAAGUGGAAUUCCUAGUGUAGCGGUGAAAUGCGUAGAUAUUAGGAGGAACACCAGUGGCGAAGGCGGCUUACUGGACUGUAACUGACGUUGAGGCUCGAAAGCGUGGGGAGCAAACAGGAUUAGAUACCCUAGUAGUC